rnacentral:lncRNA from 1 species
UCUUGGGCCACUCCCAUGACAUAUGGAGGUUCCCAGGCUACGGGUCGAAUUGGAGAUGUAGCCGCCAGCCUACGCCACAGCCAUAGCAACUUGGGAUCCGAGCUGCGUCUGCAACCUACACCACAGCUCAUGGCAAUGCCAGACCCUUAACCCACUGAGCAAGGCUAGGGAUCGAACCUGCAACCUCACAGUUCCUAGUCGGAUUCAUUAACCACUGCGCCACUACGGGAACUCCUUAAUCUUCUCUUCUUACAAAGACAUCUGUCAUAUUGGACUAGGACCCACCCAUAUAUCUGACCUUAUUUUAUCAUUCUUAGCUGUUCAAAGACACUAUCUCUGGAGUGAAGUUAAGGAUCUGGCACUGUCACUGCAGCAGCUCAGGGAUGCUGCUAUGGCAUGGAUUUGUUCCUGGUCCACAAACUUCCACAUGCCAUGGGUGUGGUCAAAAAAUAAUAAUAAAGACCCUGUCUCCAAAUACAGCUAUAUUCUGAGGCACUGUGCAUUAGGACUUCAAAAUGUGAAUUGAGAGGGGACACUAUUCAGCCCAUAACAAUUAUAUUUCAUUCUAAGGGAAUAUUAUCAACCAAGUGAGGAAUGCUAAAUGUCUUAAAAUCUCUGCUUCCUCACUUCUCUACAAGCUGCUUGUCAUUUUAUGGGGUUAUUAAUAUCUCCACCAGCCAUCUAGUUGAUGCUAGGAGGAUGUAACUCAAAAUCAUUUUAUUAUUUACUCAGAUACGUUUUCUUCCUCAUUUAUAAGUAUUGUAAAGUUAAUACAAGUGAGAAAAAAAUUUGUCUGGUAUUUCACCAACCGUAAUGAAGUAUACUCUAACAUUUAUAAUUGCUAGUUCAGUUAAGUACUAUGUAAGAAUUCACAGGUGAUAUUGUUAUAAAAUAAUGAACCAGAUGGAAACGUUUGCCUCAUUACUUCUUGGUUAUUUCCCAUAAAGUUAAUACUUCACUACCUGAAUGGUUUGGAAGAGAACAACUCUUCCUUUGCUGAAUCAGGGAAUCUGAUUAUCACACAUCAUUAAUCUAAUGACAAAGAGCCUUUUUUAAAAAAAUGAGUAGGUCAAACAGUCUUAGUGAGAUCAACUUUUAAUGCUGUACCCAUUAUUUUCACGACACGUAUAUUUUUAAAAUGCCUUCAAAUUUACAGAGCAUUUUCCCAUAGUUUUCCAAAAAAUUUUCACAAGUAUAAAUUAAAUGUGUUCUCAUUCUCAUUUACAGACAAGGAAACUGAGGCUCAGAGGUUUUUUUGUGUGACAUGUCCAGGGAUAUAGUUAAUAAAUAGCACAGCUAGGACUAGAACUGUCUGAUUCUAACCCAGAGCUGACCUAUUUUUUAAUAUCCAUACUAAUGUCAAUUUCUAAAUGAUCUCUCCCAAAAUAUGCCUUCAUGAGAAAAGGAUUUCACGGUCAAAUACAUUUGGAGAAAACUGUCUGCUAAAUUCCUCAUUGGUAGAAUCACAGACUUGUUACUUUUAAAGGCUGUGAGGACUACUGAAUUAAUGAAGUCCAUUUAACAUUGUUUAAUCUAAACUUAUUCCCAGGUUUAAUUAAUCAUUGAAAUUUUUCCCCAUGUAAUUGCUACUAACAUCCAGAGUACCUGCAUUAAUAACUGUUCUAAAUGAACAACUUUUUAUCAACUAUGUUAAAAGGCCUAGGUGCUACAAAAGGCCAUAUUUCAGAGGAGAGUUUAGGAAAAUUAGAGCAGGAAAGUGUCCUGAAAAGAACAAAGGAAGUGUUUGCUUUUAUUUUUUAGUUUGUAGCCAAAAGAAUUUGCUACGCUAUAAAUGCCAUAAAAGUAAGAACUACCUCUACACUUUUUAUGAGACAUGUAGUACAAUCCACAAUUAAAAAUAUAUGUUUAACGGAGAAAAAUGACAUGAAUUUCUCAUCAGUACUAAUCAGCCAUAAACAAUUUUUUAUCAGAAAACAGAAAAAAACUAAGCUUAUUUUUCUAUUUGACAAGCGGCAUGGCACUGAGGUGGUAUUCUGAUGUAAAAAGAUCGUUUGGAAAAAAAAAAGCUUUUUAAGGGUCUUUAAGGGACUUCUCAGCAUCAUCACUUAAUGACUUGAUCAAUGCCCCAUGCAGAAUUUUCUUAAAGGGUCACAUUAAUGCAAAUGAUGUACCAGAGGGUCUUCAAAUGUAUUAGAAAAUAUUAAUCUUGCAAUUGAAGAGAAGAAAAAUUGUUUCCUAAUGGUACUUUUUUUUCCUUAAUAAUCAAUUUUCAUUCCUUUCCCCCCUUUUCUAGUCAUUCUCAUUCACUUACUUUAACCAACGUGAAUUCCUUAUUUCAGAACUCUUACAGUAAAAGAAUUUCAAAAGUCAGGCAGAGUGGGUGGAAAUUGAUAGCGUGAUAUAUAAAUUCUUCAGAUGAGUAUUAAUUUAGCAGAUUCUGCUCCUCUCUCCCUCUACCAAAGUGGAACAGAAAGCUGAAAUCUAAAGCGUUUAAUUAUACCACAUUUCAGUCAGUUCACUAGAUUAUAUUCUUAGCUCCAUGAAUUGCCCAUGAGUGAGAACUCUGCUUGUGAUAAAAGGUCAAAAACAAUUUUGAACAAUACAAUUUUUCUCCAAAUAUUUAGUUCUUGCCUGCAUAAUUAUCUACAUGUACACAUGUGUAUACACACACACACACCACAUACAUGGAGUUUAGCAACUUCUCUUUCAAAAAAUAACAUUGUCAUUGGUAAGAGAAUUUGAAAAGCCAGCAGCCAUUGAGAAAAUCUGAAAACAGCUUGGGGACUACCAAAUUAUAGCACACUUGGAUUUAAUCCUAGAGCUUGCUCCCUGUUACCCUUAUCCACAAAUACUAGGAAUUUCAUCUUGCUCUAACUGCAAUGCCAGAUCCAAGACAUGUCUGUGACCUCCACCACAGCUCAUGGCAACACCAAGUCCUUAACCCACUGAGUGAGGCUAAGGACCGAACCCAUAUCCUCAUGGAUACUAGUCGGGUUUGUAACCUGCUGAGCCACAACAGGAACUCUUUACACGCAAGGAAAUAUUUAACGGCUCAUCUGCAGUUUUAGGAGAGUGAAGCAGGAAUGAAAAAUUGGGUCGGUUUCAAUUCAAAUAGAUGUUGUCGUACAUGAGUCUCUUUAAACUAAAAACAGAAAAGCUAGGAAUCUGUUCUGUGCAGUUUUGGCAAUCGACGUU